rnacentral:rRNA from 1 species
AGCCAGGUUGGUUUCUAUCUUUAGAGAAAUAAAAUAUUUUAGUACGAAAGGAUCAAAUAUUUGAAAUAAUUUUAAUAAAUGAAUAUUAUUAAUUUAAUUAAAUAAAAUUAU